CACCGCACCGAACAGAAGUGAACUACUCGUGCGCCGCCGGUUCACGGUACCUUAAAUACCUUGGCAGCCAUGCCGCCACCGCCGCAGCCGCCACCGCCGCCGCAGUCGUCGCCGCCGUCGAGAAUCGUGCGGCCCCUACCUUCAAAGCCGCCCCACGUCGCAUACCCGGAUUGGCGGGGGAGCAGGAACGAUGCUUGCUGUACUCGCCGGAUACAGGAGAGCAUCCUCCGCCACUUCUUCCCUCCCCUUCUGUCCCAUCUGCCACCUCUUCCUCCUCCUCCUACUCAUCCUCCUUCUCCUCCAUUUCCAGCGUUUAUUCGCCUCUCUCCUACUCCAGCACCGAGGUAUAAUGGCCUCUCGCUCUCUUUCUACGUGCUCCGCACGCACACACAACGGUGGCAGUUGCAUGAGAAAAGGAGAAGAUGUCCCGAUACUCGAGCAAUUCUCUUGCCAUUCCAUUCCCGUCUUUGCGAACGUUUGUAACAAGGUUCAUAAACUGAUCUUCAUCGAUUUUGGCUAUGUAUCUUCUCAUUUCCUCUUUUCGCUUCUCUUCGUGUAUAUUUGAAUAUAUCGCUGAAUAUUGGAUUGGUGUAUAUUAUGUAAAUCAUAAAUCGUAGAAGUUUCAAUUUGAUUGUUGUAAAAUCAGAAGGAUAGAAGGAAAAAAAAUGGAAAAGAAAAAGAAAAAGAAAAAGAAAAAGAAGAAAAUCAUUUUGCAAAUAUCGUGAUGUAGAGGAACGGCGCCAAGGGCUAACUUCUGUUUCCGCGCAUGCGCGUUCUCAUGAAACGCGGGAGUCUGCGCCGGACUCUCAUUCGCACUUCGUGACCCGUCAUGUGCGAAGCGCUCCUCUGAGGUAGCGUUGAUUUUUAAAGACGCACUGCUGUCCUCGGCAAUAUCACCCAGCGCCCAUGGAAUUUCAAGCGCUCGCGGAUGGCGGCGGCGCGUUAAUCGCGCGUUCCGCUCCUUUCUACGAGCGUGUCCCUGCACGUUUACACACGUGCUUCCGAGUGGCUCGUGUAAACUUACUCGAGUAGCAUUUUUCUAUAAGUGUUCCACGUUGCUUUUCAUAAUUAGCGACUCGUGUUCUACCCAUGACAAAGAGGGACCCUCCGUUGAAUGGGUAAAGCGAACGAGAUCAAGGCUCUUCCCUCUGCCUCUCUCGUAUGUAUUAUCUCCAUAAUGUUGAAGAGCCGAUCUUUCCCGUUUUGAAAGAUCCGAAGGAUGUCAUCGACGUACAUACAAGUUCUUCCUCGUCUUCAAUCGCGUGUUAACGAGGAAAAAUUUAAUAUAUUUUUUCUCAAAUUUUUUAAUUAUGAAGAUAACUGCACAAAAAUGAUAACGAAAUUGUAAAGGAGAAUUCCAGUAGUACUAUCGUCUAGCGUGUUAUGAAUCAAGAAAGAGAAGAAUUCAUUAAUUCGAGGGAAAUCCGGGAGAAUCUAUGACCUUAUCGUUUUGUCAAUGUAACGUCUAUUUUUAAUUGAAUCGAUAUUGCUUAUUAAGAACAUAUCAAUUCUUACCGUUCGUUGGGAAUCACGAAAAUUGGAAUGUCCGAUGAAAUAAUGAAUUUCUACUUCAAUUCUAAUAAUUUUCAACUUGACCGACUUUUCAACUAGCAACUUCCUAAAAGCAAAUGAUUUCUUAAAACAACUUGCCU